UACGUAGGGUGCAAGCGUUAUCCGGAUUUACUGGGUGUAAAGGGCGAGUAGACGGCGUUGCAAGUCAGAUGUGAAAGGCUAGAGCUCAACUUUAGGACUGCAUCUGAAACUGUAAUGCUAGAGUGCAGGAGAGGUAAGCGGAAUUCCUAGUGUAGCGGUGAAAUGCGUAGAUAUUAGGAGGAACACCAGUGGCGAAGGCGGCUUACUGGACUGUAACUGACGUUGAGGCGCGAAAGCGUGGGGAGCAAAUA
rnacentral:rRNA from 1 species